GAUGAACGCUGGCGGCGUGCCUAAUACAUGCAAGUCGAGCGAACGGACGAGAAGCUUGCUUCUCUGAUGUUAGCGGCGGACGGGUGAGUAACACGUGGAUAACCUACCUAUAAGACUGGGAUAACUUCGGGAAACCGGAGCUAAUACCGGAUAAUAUUUUGAACCGCAUGGUUCAAAAGUGAAAGACGGUCCUGCUGUCACUUAUAGAUGGAUCCGCGCUGCAUUAGCUAGUUGGUAAGGUAACGGCUUACCAAGGCAACGAUGCAUAGCCGACCUGAGAGGAUGAUCGGCCACACUGGAACUGAGACACGGUCCAGACUCCUACGGGAGGCAGCAGUAGGGAAUCUUCCGCAAUGGGCGAAAGCCUGACGGAGCAACGCCGCGUGAGUGAUGAAGGUCUUCGGAUCGUAAAACUCUGUUAUUAGGGAAGAACAGAUGUGGAAGUAACUGUGCACAUCUUGACGGUACCUAAUCAGAAAGCAACGGCUAACUACGUG
rnacentral:rRNA from 1 species